UCCCUGGUGGUCCAGUGGCUAAGACUCUGUGCCCCCAAUGCAGGAGACCCAGGUUCAAUACCUGGUCAGGGAA
rfam:TPA: Bos taurus chromosome 1, whole genome shotgun sequence.